rnacentral:rRNA from 1 species
GAUGAACGCUGGCGGCGUGCCUAACACAUGCAAGUCGAACGGAGACAAGCAGCUAAUACCUUCGGGUCAAAGAGGGGAAGACUGGGUGGCGGACGGGUGAGAAACACGUUGGCAACCGGGCUCAAAGAGGGGGAAAACAGAGAGAAAUUUCUGCUAAUACCGCAUACGCACACGCUGCCGCACGGCAGAGGGGGAAAAGGGGAUCGCCAUGAGAUGGACCCGCGUCUGUUGAGCCAGGUGGCAGGGUAAGAGCGUACCAAAGCGACGAUCAGUGGCCGAUCUGAGAGGAUGAACCGCCCCCUUGGGACUGAGACCCGGCCCGAACUCCGCCGGGAGGCCGCAGUGGGGGAUAUUGCACGAUGGGGGGAUCCCUGAUGCCGCGGCGCCGCGUGAGUGAAGAAGUAUUUCGGUAGGUAAAGCUCUAUCAGCCGGGACGCUAUUGCCUGUACCUGAAUAAGAGGCCCCGCCUACCUCCGU